rnacentral:rRNA from 1 species
GACGAACGCUGGCGGCGUGCUUAAUACAUGCAAGUCAACUGAACUUAAGAUAGCAAUAUUUUAAGGGAGGUGGCGCACGGGUGAGUAACACGUAGGUAAUCUGCCUUUAGGUCUGACACAACCCCGAGAAAUCGGGGCUAAUAUCAGAUGAUGCAGCGGCUCGACAUCGAGACAGUUGUUAAACCUUCGGGGCCGUAAAGAUGAGCCUGCGUCUGAUUAGGUAGUUGGCGGAGUAAAAGACCCACCAAGCCUGCGAUCAGUAGCUGGUCUGAGAGGAUGAUCAGCCACACUGGAACUGAGACACGGUCCAGACUCCUACGGGAGGCAGCAGUAAGGAAUAUUGCUCAAUGGCCGAAAGGCUGAAGCAGCAACGCCGCGUGGAGGAUGAAAUACUUUUGUAUGUAAACUCCUGUAAGAAGGGAAAAUAUUCCGAUUUAUCGGGAUUGAUUG